AGCGAACGCUGGCGGCAGGCCUAACACAUGCAAGUCGAACGAACUCUUCGGAGUUAGUGGCGGACGGGUGAGUAACACGUGGGAACGUGCCCUUUGGUACGGAAUAACUCAGGGAAACUUGAGCUAAUACCGUAUGUGCCCUUCGGGGGAAAGAUUUAUCGCCAUUGGAGCGGCCCGCGUCUGAUUAGCUAGUUGGUGAGGUAAAGGCUCAUCAAGGCUACGAUCAGUAGCUGGUCUGAGAGGAUGAUCAGCCACAUUGGGACUGAGACACGGCCCAAACUCCUACGGGAGGCAGCAGUGGGGAAUCUUGCGCAAUGGGCGAAAGCCUGACGCAGCCAUGCCGCGUGAAUGAUGAAGGUCUUAGGAUUGUAAAAUUCUUUCACCGGGGACGAUAAUGACGGUACCCGGAGAAGAAGCCCCGGCUAACUUCGUGCCAGCCGCCGCAGUAA
rnacentral:rRNA from 1 species